rnacentral:rRNA from 1 species
CAUUAUAGAGGACUAAACUCCCUAAACCCAUGUGAACUUACCACUGUUGCUUCGGCGAGAUCGCCCCGGGCGCCGUAUGCGUGCCCCGGAGCAAGGCACUCGCCGGAGGACCCCAAACUCUGUUUUAUGUUGGCACAUCUGAGUGGAAUCAUACAAAUGAAUCAAAACUUUCAACAACGGAUCUCUUGGUUCUGGCAUCGAUGAAGAACGCAGCGAAAUGCGAUAUGUAAUGUGAAUUGCAGAAUUCAGUGAAUCAUCGAAUCUUUGAACGCACAUUGCGCCCGCUAGUAUUCUGGCGGGCAUGCCUGUCCGAGCGUCAUUAGAACCCUCGGGACCCCUUCUGGCAACAGCCUGGAGGGGCCCCGGCGUUGGGGAUCGGCUGCCCCCGCGGCUGCCGUCCCCGAAAUCUAGUGACGGUCUCACCGCAUACUCCUUUGCGUAGUAAAACACCUCGCACUGGACGGCUGGAGUGACCACGUCGUUAACCCCCAACUUUAUAAGGUUG